rnacentral:rRNA from 1 species
UGGGGAAUAUUGCACAAUGGAGGGAACUCUGAUGCAGCGACGCCGCGUGAACAAAGAAGGCUUUCGAGUCGUAAAGUUCUUUUAUAUGGGAAGAUAAUGACGGUACCAUAAGAAGAAGCCCCGGCUAACUACGUGCCAGCAGCCGCGGUAAUACGUAGGGGGCUAGCGUUGUCCGGAAUCACUGGGCGUAAAGGGUUCGCAGGCGGAAAUGCAAGUCAGGUGUAAAAGGCAGUAGCUUAACUACUGUAAGCAUUUGAAACUGCAUAUCUUGAGAAGAGUAGAGGUAAGUGGAAUUUUUAGUGUAGCGGUGAAAUGCGUAGAUAUUAAAAAGAAUACCGGUGGCGAAGGCGACUUACUGGGCUCAUUCUGACGCUGAGGAACGAAAGCGUGGGUAGCAAACAGG